AUGUGGCAAAUUUUUGUUUUUGUAAAAAAAUUCGAUGGAGAAAGAAGUAAAAUUAGGAACUACUGUGCUCAAUCAUUAAUGUCUUUGAGAGUCCUUUUUUGUGAUUAUAAGUUGGAUUUUUUCCUUGGUUAUUGGAAGUUAACUUUUUUUACUCAUUUAAAAUUGACAGAAAUUGAUAUAAUUAAUGUCUUUGUUAGCUAUUUGUAG